rnacentral:rRNA from 1 species
CCUACGGGAGGCAGCAGUGAGGAAUAUUGGUCAAUGGACGAGAGUCUGAACCAGCCAAGUAGCGUGAAGGAUGACUGCCCUAUGGGUUGUAAACUUCUUUUAUAUGGGAAUAAAACGUUCCACGUGUGGGAUUUUGUAUGUACCAUAUGAAUAAGGAUCGGCUAAAUCCGUGCCAGCAGCCGCGGUAAUACGGAGGAUCCGAGCGUUAGCCGGAUUUAUUGGGUUUAAAGGGAGCGUAGGUGGACUGUUAAGUCAGUUGUGAAAGUUUGCGGCUCAACCGUAAAAUUGCAGUUGAAACUGGCAGUCUUGAGUACAGUAGAGGUGGGCGGAAUUCGUGGUGUAGCGGUGAAAUGCUUAGAUAUCACGAAGAACUCCGAUUGCGAAGGCAGUUCACUGGACUGCAACUGACACUGAGGCUCGAAAGUGUGGGUAUCAAACAGGAUUAGAUACCCCUGUAGUC